CAUCGGCGACCGCGCGGCUGAACAAGCAGCGUAGAAUAGAUAUUUGAUGGCGGUGCAACGCGAUUAAGAAAACUAUCGAUUGUCCCUGAAUGAUCGAAGGUGAGAGAAGAUCAAAUCUCUCGAGUAAAUCCUGUACACCGGUGAUUGUAACCCGCUCGACCAUCGACUGGAUGCGUUCUCUUUAUGAGUGAAUAAAGGACAGGAAAUGAACGGUGAAUUCAUUGCAAAAUUGUCGAACCGUUCUCCGCGAGUUUCUGGGGGAUCUGAUUACAUAAACAAACGGAACCUCCGGUCCAUUACGUAAAAGGCUCGCC